UACGUAGGGGGCUAGCGUUGCUCGGAAUUACUGGGCGUAAAGCGCACGUAGGCGGCUUAUUAAGUCGGGGGUGAAAUCCUGGAGCUCAACUCCAGAACUGCCUUCGACACUGAUGAGCUUGAGUUCGGGAGAGGUGAGUGGAACUGCGAGUGUAGAGGUGAAAUUCGUAGAUAUUCGCAAGAACACCAGUGGCGAAGGCGGGUCUCUGGGCAAUAACUGACGCUGAGGAGCGAAAGCGUGGGGAGCGAACAGG
rnacentral:rRNA from 1 species